UAAAAUCACAGAAUCCGAUGAUGUUACCAAGAGAGAGAUCAUAGAGGGAUAAAUGGAGAAGGGUUACGGGGUCCACCAUCCCAUUCUUCACUAUCACGGCUCAUGACCCAGAAGUCCAUGGGGAUUGGGAAAGAAAUGAGGAUAUAGGAAGGGCACAAGAAAUGCACAGAAGAGAACAGAAAGAAGGUCAGAGGGAAGCCCAGACAAGUACAAC